CAUUAAAUGACUGAUUUAAGUAUUGAUUUUUUAAAUCAAAAUAUAAUAGACAUCUAUCUCUAUUUUUAAUGA
rnacentral:tRNA from 1 species